rnacentral:lncRNA from 1 species
ACAGUUUCAAAAGGGAUUCAAGGGGAAUCUCCGACUUUUAUUUAUAUUUUUAUAAAUAAGCAACAAAUCGUGUUUUCAAAUUCACGUGUAGCUUAAGUGAAUUUACCCAAUUGGAUUCAGUUUAUUUUAUGUAAGCAAGUUAUUCUAACUUAAUAGUAACAAUAAUAAUAGCGAAUAUAAACAAUUGUAUAUCUUUGUAUCCUUGACAACUAUCUUCGAACUCAUUUUGCUUGUAAAAUUGUUAAAAAAAAAAAAACAACUUAAAACGAAUAGUAGUCCCUUUGAUUGAUUCAUUUUAAAAUAUCAGACUCUCCUUUUUAAGUAAUUUGGUACCCUUGUAUGUCAUGUGACACCCUUAAAUAAUCGCUUAUUUUGAACUCGAGCCCAAUUCCUUUUGGAGUUUUUUGAGCUCGGACAGGACGCGACAGGACCUACCACCCACCACUGCGGGGAAAUACCUUGCGGCUGGUGCAGCACGUGCACAUUUUGCCGCGCUGUCGAGCGCAACACUGAAUCACACUUAAAGCAGAGUUGAAAAAAUACGGCGAAGCUGUUCGAGCAAGGUCCCUCGAGCGCGCUUUCCCUAAGUUCAUGCUGCCAGCGGGGGCGAAAGGGGUGGGUUUUUUUUUGGGGGGUGGAGGGUGGAACACGCACCCACAUACGAACUUUCAUAAUUCGCCUUAAAUGCUGCGUGGCAAUUUGCAGUAGCAGCAGUUGUAGCAACAAUAACAGCGCCACGAGGAAGCCCAUUGCACAUUCAACAAAGUGCACAUUCUGCAGCAACAACGACUACGACGAGAGCAGCAGCAAUGCGACAACUCAUGAAAACAACCAACCCGAUGCCACCGCCCAACCGAAAAACCAUAUUUCAAAACAGUGAGUUCUCAACGUGAUGAACAAAUAAAUUAUUUCUUCUGUUACUAUAAAUCUC